UAACUGGCUUUUCUAAAAGCAACUUAACUUUUUCAUGCAAGUGAUUU
rfam:Chelonia mydas contig261052, whole genome shotgun sequence.